CUGAGCGCCUGGGGGCAGCGCCGGGCCCGGAGCCUCGCGGGGGGCUCGUAGGUCGCGUUGGGCUGCGGUCACCGUGAGAUGUGGUCAGGACGUCGUGUGCGUGACUUUCGAGCAGUUAUUUAUCCAUCGGCAGCCCGCGGUGGUGGCAGUUGCUUCUCUCAAAAUCGCUACUGUUGUUUUUAGUGCGCGUCUCCACACCCCGAUAAGCGGGUAGCGGCGCCCUGCAGAGCACUGACUGCUGGGGUCACUGCUUCCCCUCUCCUCAGCACUGGCGGAGGUGGACGCCUGCCUUAAGAACCCCAUUGCUCAGCGUUGGGGUGCUGAGCAGCUCAUCAGUGCUUGAAGGUGACCGAGCAGCCCAUUCGAGCCUCAGAAACUGAUGUAGAGAGGAGUUAACCUUGCUCAAAUUAUCUUCAGCUGCACCUUCCAGUCUCAGCUGCUGUGCGUGGGACACACAGCUCCACGGAGCCCUUCACAGCAGGUUGGGAAUCAUCACAGGACUUGGUCUGCAUUUGCUGACCAAAGGGAAGGUGAGCCUGCAAGGACUGCACUGGUAUCACUGCUGGGUAGCACGGUGUGACCACUGAGCCUGGACAAGAAGCUGAUGCUGGAAAAAUACUGCUGAGCUCCUUGUGCUUGUGCCAAUGUUAUUUAAAGCAAUCUUGCAACAAUGCAGCAGAAAAGAAAGAAAAUUCUUGUCUCCACUGAAUUCCAGAAAAAUUGUGUCUCUGCUUCAUCAAAACCUGUGCAACAGAAGCAUCCUUAGGAUGUUGCUUUCUGUGCGAGUUGUGCCCCAGGAAGGCAGGGGAGUGGGUAGGUACUGAGGGAGGCAGUCUGCAGUUUAGAUGAUGUAACAGCAGUAGGCUGAUAAAACUCAAUCAAAUUGUCUCAGGCAAUAUCAGCUGAUUUUUUUUAUUUCUUUAUCAGCUUGUUUCUCCCUCAAAUGACAUUUGUGUGCUCUCCUUGCCUAACUAUGAGGAUUUGAGACAGCAUAAAAAAGAUAUUCAAAAGGGAAGCAAACCUACCUCAAGCAUAUUUGCCGCAUGCUUUUCCUAACCUCAUCUGCAG
ensembl:lncRNA